rnacentral:rRNA from 1 species
UGGCGGCGUGCCUAAUACAUGCAAGUCGAGCGAACAGACGAGGAGCUUGCUCCUCUGACGUUAGCGGCGGACGGGUGAGUAACACGUGGAUAACCUACCUAUAAGACUGGGAUAACUUCGGGAAACCGGAGCUAAUACCGGAUAAUAUAUUGAACCGCAUGGUUCAAUAGUGAAAGACGGUUUUGCUGUCACUUAUAGAUGGAUCCGCGCCGCAUUAGCUAGUUGGUAAGGUAACGGCUUACCAAGGCAACGAUGCGUAGCCGACCUGAGAGGGUGAUCGGCCACACUGGAACUGAGACACGGUCCAGACUCCUACGGGAGGCAGCAGUAGGGAAUCUUCCGCAAUGGGCGAAAGCCUGACGGAGCAACGCCGCGUGAGUGAUGAAGGUCUUCGGAUCGUAAAACUCUGUUAUUAGGGAAGAACAAAUGUGUAAGUAACUAUGCACGUCUUGACGGUACCUAAUCAGAAAGCCACGGCUAACUACGUGCCAGCAGCCGCGGUAAUACGUAGGUGGCAAGCGUUAUCCGGAAUUAUUGGGCGUAAAGCGCGCGUAGGCGGUUUUUUAAGUCUGAUGUGAAAGCCCACGGCUCAACCGUGGAGGGUCAUUGGAAACUGGAAAACUUGAGUGCAGAAGAGGAAAGUGGAAUUCCAUGUGUAGCGGUGAAAUGCGCAGAGAUAUGGAGGAACACCAGUGGCGAAGGCGACUUUCUGGUCUGUAACUGACGCUGAUGUGCGAAAGCGUGGGG